UUUCCGCUACAUAUUGAGAGGGGAAUUUUUUCCGCUAAAUUUAGCGGAGAAAUUUUUCCACUAAGUUUAGCAAUGAAAAUUUACCGCUAGAUUUAGCGAGGAAAUUUUUCUGCUAAAUCUUUCCGGAAACAUUUUUCCGCUAAAUCUAGCGGAAACUUUUUCCGCUAGAUUUAGCGGGGAAAAGUUUUCG
rnacentral:snRNA from 1 species